ACCGUCUCCAUUCCCGCCGAUUGGCCCUCUCGCCUCAGUCUCCUCUCUUUCCUCCUCCUCCCGUCCCCUAGGAUACGGCAUUGCUGGCUGACGUGUGACGGUCUCCUAGUGACCAGUCCCGUGACCACGCCCCUUCCUCUCUUUCUUCUCUUAUCCUUCCUGCUGACCUGCUGGUCCUCUCAUCCCUCCUUUCCUCUCUUGCCAUAAAGAGCGUUAAGGUACCAUUUCCUCUCUUCAUCCUUGUCAUUUAAAGCUGAGAACCGCGAUAGGCGAAACAGGGCCACUGGCCCACCCAGGGCAUUUGUUGUUUUCGUUUUGAGGAAAUGGGCAGCCAGCAUCGCGGUAAACAUAUAUUGGAUCUGCUAUUCUGUGCAUUGUCACAGGUCGGCUCAUAGCCUGUGGCAAAAAAAGAGGGGACACGAACAACAGGUAUAGGCCAAUCAAAAAGGUUCUUUAUUAUAAACCAAACUAUGAGGGGACACGAACAACAGGUAUAGGCCAAUCAAAAAGGUUCUUUAUUAUAAACCAAACUAUGAGGGGACACGAACAACAGGUAUAGGCCAAUCAAAAAGGUUCUUUAUUAUAAACCAAACUAUGAGGGGACACGAACAACAGGUAUAGGCCAAUCAAAAAGGUUCUUUAUUAUAAACCAAACUAUGAGGGGACACGAACAACAGGUAUAGGCCAAUCAAAAAGGUUCUUUAUUAUAAACCAAACUAUGAGGGGACACGAACAACAGGUAUAGGCCAAUCAAAAAGGUUCUUUAUUGUAAACCAAACUAUGAGGGGACACGAACAACAGGUAUAGGCCAAUCAAAAAGGUUCUUUAUUAUAAACCAAACUAUGAGGGGACACGAACAACAGGUAUAGGCCAAUCAAAAAGGUUCUUUAUUAUAAACCAAACUAUGAGGGGACACGAACAACAGGUAUAGGCCAAUCAAAAAGGUUCUUUAUUGUAAACCAAACUAUGAGGGGACACGAACAACAGGUAUAGGCCAAUCAAAAAGGUUCUUUAUUAUAAACCAAACUAUGAGGGGACACGAACAACAGGUAUAGGCCAAUCAAAAAGGUUCUUUAUUAUAAACCAAACUAUGAGGGGACACGAACAACAGGUAUAGGCCAAUCAAAAAGGUUCUUUAUUAUAAACCAAACUAUGAGGGGACACGAACAACAGGUAUAGGCCAAUCAAAAAGGUUCUUUAUUGUAAACCAAACUAUGAGGGGACACGAACAACAGGUAUAGGCCAAUCAAAAAGGUUCUUUAUUGUAAACCAAACUAUGAGGGGACACGAACAACAGGUAUAGGCCAAUCAAAAAGGUUCUUUAUUGUAAACCAAAACUAUUAACUUUAAACAAAGAAAAGGGAAUGAGGUGUGAAAGUAUCAUAAUGUUAAGGUGUAUGUGAAAGAACAAACAAACAGGAUCAUACCUGGAGGAGCAGAGAGAGAGAGAGAGAUUGGUGAAGCAGUUUAAAUACCCUGAGCCCAGGUGACCAAUCACUAACAACCCUCCUCUGCCUUUUAUUUUUUAUUUUACCUUUAUUUAACCAGGCAAGUCAGUUAAAGAACAAAUUCUUAUUUUCAAUGACGGCCUGGGAACAGUGGGUUAACUGCCUGUUCAGGGGCAGAACGACAGAUUUGUACCUUGUCAGCUCGGGGAUUUGAACUUGCAACCUUUCGGUUACUUGUCCAACACUCUAACCACUAGGCUACCCUGUCGCCCCAGGAGGAACCGCCCCCUGCACUGCAGAGGGGCCGUGACAGCAUGUCCGAGGGAAAGUUCUGGUAUAUCAUGAGGCUUUAAGAAGCACUUUGUGGAGGCCAUUUCAGAAACACUUCCUCCUCCUCUCGUCUUUCGUUUAUACAGUGAUAAUAACACAUUGCACGGAUAACAAACAGGUCUGUUCCUAUUGUGUAUGUUUAGCAUUCAAUGUGAAACUAAUGGAAGAUGCUUAACCUGCAUAACAGUACAGCUCUGCCUCCGAUGCUAGAGGUUCACUGACCAAACUAACAACAAGUUGAACAUGGCUCUGGCCAAUCCCUCCUCUGAUCCUGAGCAUAUCCCCUCCCCUGAUGACAUCACCCAAAAACCAGAAGAUGAUGAGGUGUGUGUAAGGGGUCUGAGUGCAUUCAGUUGGUGUGUGUGUUUGAGCGAGGGUAGUUUGGAGGUGGACCAAUCGAUUGGUCAAAAUGUUUAAACGUGUAUUUUUCAAUAUACAGUACCAGUGAGAAAUGUUUGACACACCUACCUUUUCUACAUUGUAGAAUAAUAGUGAAGACAUCAACACUAUGAAAUAACACAUGGAAUCAUGUAGUAACCAAAAAAGUGUUCUUCAAAGUAGCCUCCCUUACCCUUGAUGACAGCUUUGCACGCUCUUGGCAUUUUCUCAACCAGCUUCAUGAGGUAGUCACCUGGAAUGCAUUUCAAUUAACAGGUGUGCCUUGUUAAAAGUUCAUUUGUGGAAUUUAUUUCCUUAAUGUGAUUGAGCCAAUCAGUUGGUUUGUGACAAGGUAGGGUUGGUAUACAGGUAUACAGAAGACAGCCCAAGUCCAUAUUAUGGCAAGAACAGCUCAAAUAAGCAAAGAGAAACGACAGUCCAUCAUUACUUUAAGACAUGAAGAUCAGUCAAUCCGUAAAAUUUCAAGAACUUUCUUCAAGUGAACGUUUCUUCAAGUGCAGUCGCAAAAACCAUCAGCAGUUAUGAUGAAACUGGCUCUCAUGAGGACCGCCACAGGAAAGGAAGACCCAGAGUUCCCUCUGCUGCAGAGGAUAAGCUCAUUAAAAUAACUGCACCUCAGAAAUUGCAGCCCAAAUAAAUGCUUCAGAGUUCAAGUUACAGACACAUAUCAACAUCAAUUGUUCAGAGACUGUGUGAAUCAGGCCUUCAUGGUCAAAUUGCUGCAAAGAAACCACUACUUAAGGACACCAAUAAGAAGAAGGGACUUGCUUGGGCCAAGAAACACGAGCAAUUGACAUUAGACCGGUGGAAAUCUGUCCUUCGGUCUGAUGAUUCCAAAUUUGAGGUUUUGUGUUCCAACCACCAUGUCUUUGAGACGCAGAGUAGGUAAACGGAUGAUCUUCACAGGUGUGGUUCCCACCGUGAAGCAUGGAGGAGGAGGUGUGAUGGUGUUUUGCUGGUGACACGGUCAGUGAUUUAUUUAGAAUUCAAGGCACGAUACGCCAUCCCAUCUGUUUUGUGCUUAGUGGGACUAUCAUUUGUUUUCCAACAGGACAAUGACCAAGAAGGAGAGCGAUGAAGUGUUGCAUCCACACCAAUAUGCUGGUUAAAUUCGCUAUU